AACGAACGCUGGCGGCAUGCCUAACACAUGCAAGUCGAACGAGACCUUCGGGUCUAGUGGCGCACGGGUGCGUAACGCGUGGGAACCUGCCCUUAGGUUCGGAAUAACUCCCCGAAAGGGGUGCUAAUACCGGAUAAUGUCUUCGGGCCAAAGAUUUAUCGCCUUUGGAUGGGCCCGCGUUGGAUUAGCUAGUUGGUAGGGUAAAAGCCUACCAAGGCGACGAUCCAUAGCUGGUCUGAGAGGAUGAUCAGCCACACUGGGACUGAGACACGGCCCAGACUCCUACGGGAGGCAGCAGUGGGGAAUAUUGGACAAUGGGCGAAAGCCUGAUCCAGCAAUGCCGCGUGAGUGAUGAAGGCCUUAGGGUUGUAAAGCUCUUUUACCCGGGAUGAUAAUGACAGGACCGGGAGAAUAAGCGCCGGCUAACUCCGU
rnacentral:rRNA from 1 species